rnacentral:sRNA from 1 species
ACCGGAUGGGGUGGUGCACACCUGUAAUCCCAGUGACUUGGGAGGCUGAGGCAGGAGGAUCACGAGUUCAAAGCCAGCCUCAACAAAAGUGAGGUGCUAAGCAACUCAGUGAGACCCUGUCUCUA